rnacentral:rRNA from 1 species
GUGGGGAAUAUUGGGCAAUGGGGGAAACCCUGACCCAGCAACGCCGCGUGAAGGAAGAAGGUUUUCGGAUUGUAAACUUCUGUCCCAAGGGAAGAAGAAAGUGACGGUACCUUGGGAGGAAGCCCCGGCUAACUACGUGCCAGCAGCCGCGGUAAUACGUAGGGGGCGAGCGUUGUCCGGAAUUAUUGGGCGUAAAGGGUGCGUAGGCGGCCUGUCAAGUCAGAUGUGAAACCCCCGUGCUUAACAUGGGACCUGCAUUUGAAACUGAUGGGCUUGAGUGUGGGAGAGGCAAGCGGAAUUCCCGGUGUAGCGGUGAAAUGCGUAGAGAUCGGGAGGAACACCAGUGGCGAAGGCGGCUUGCUGGACCAAGACUGACGCUGAUGCACGAAAGCGUGGGGAGCAAACAGGA